UGGGCUUGACAUGCACGUGGUAAAAGCCGGAAACGGUGAUGACCCGCAAGGGAGCGUGCACAGAUGCUGCAUGGCUGUCGUCAGCUCGUGCCGUGAGGUGUUGGGUUAAGUCCCGCAACGAGCGCAACCCUCGCUGCCAGUUACCAUGUCUGGCGGGACCGCCGGGUCCAACCCGGAGGAAGGUGGGGAUGACGUAGCUAAGCCUUC
rnacentral:misc_RNA from 1 species